rnacentral:rRNA from 1 species
AGAUUGAACGCUGGCGGAAUGCUUUACACAUGCAAGUCGAGCGGCAGCGCGGGGCAACCUGGCGGCGAGCGGCGAACGGGUGAGUAAUGCAUCGGAACAUGUCCAUUCGUGGGGGAUAGCCCGGCGAAAGCCGGAUUAAUACCGCAUACGCCCUUUGGGGGAAAGCCGGGGACCGCAAGGCCUGGCGCGAAUGGGUUGGCCGAUGCCCGAUUAGCUAGUUGGCGGGGUAUGGCCCACCAAGGCGAUGAUCGGUAGCUGGUCUGAGAGGAUGAUCAGCCACACUGGGACUGAGACACGGCCCAGACUCCUACGGGAGGCAGCAGUGGGGAAUUUGGACAAUGGGGGCAACCUGAUCCAGCCAUUCCGCGUGAGUGAAGAAGGCCUGGUGUAAG